rnacentral:tRNA from 1 species
AUCUGGCUAGCUCAGUAGUAGAGCAUGUGACUCUCAAUCUCAGGGUCAUAAGUUCAAGCUCAUGUUGGGCA